rnacentral:rRNA from 1 species
GAUGAACGCUAGCGGCAGGCUUAAUACAUGCAAGUCGAGGGACAGCACAGGUAGCAAUACUGGGUGGUAACCGGCAAACGGGUGCGGAACACGUACACAACCUUCCUUUAAGUGGGGGAUAGCCCAGAGAAAGUUGGAUUAAUACCCCGUAAUUUGGUUGAAUGGCAUCAUUUGAUUAUUAUAGCUACGGCGCUUAAGGAUGGGUGUGCGGCUGAUUAGAUAGUUGGCGGGGUAACGGCCCACCAAGUCUACGAUCAGUAGCUGGUGUGAGAGCAUGAUCAGCCACACGGGAACUGAGACACGGGCCCGACUCCUACGGGAGGCAGCAGUAAGGAAUAUUGGUCAAUGGACGCAAGUCUGAACCAGCCAUGCCGCGUGAAGGAUUAAGGUCCUCUGGAUUGUAAACUUCUUUUAUUUGGGACGAAAAAGGGCCUUUCUAGGUCAACUGACGGUACCAGAUGAAUAAGCACCGGCUAACUCCGUGCCAGCAGCCGCCGUAAUAC